GUUUGUAGGCACUUUGUCUGCUUACUGGGAGUUGCCUGAUGGGGCGUCCACUCAAAUUUGCAUGGUUUGAUAAGAACAGCUAUGAUCCUAACAGGUAAACGCCACCCUGAAUGCACUCUGUUGUUUAACUCGUCAGCUUAGAUUUCGUUUCUCAGAGAUACUCUUCCUGCAAUGGAGUUACUGCCUGGUAGAGUACCUCGCACCAUCUACAUUGAGGGCUUCGAUUCAUCUCUCAGUAUCCCAGAGAUCAGAAGCAUGCUCAAAUCUCAUUUCGACCGUAGUCGACUACAUGGCCGACGCAUUAUCACCCCACAGAAUCCAGAUGGCACAAGCACAGGGAAACCAAGUUGACUGGAAAGCCUUUGUGCGUUUCCAGAGCCGCAUUGACUUUGUUGCAGCACUUGAGCGGAAUGAGCUGGACCUAGGGGAUGGUUGCAAACUGCACGUCAGAUGGCUUGAGCUGCUGAAUUUUCCAUGGCAUCAAAAGAAGAAAGAAGGUGGCAAUGUUGGUAGCGUGGGAGCUUAGAAGAUUACGGAGAUGAUAGUUCAGCCUUUCUUAAGGUCGGCCAUGAUCAAGAAGUAUCACACUCCCAAUAUCAAUACAAAGUGUAAAGAGGAUUUGGAACCCCAAAAUAUCAAUACCAACAUCCACGCUGCCAAUUUGUUUUUUUUUC